GCCCGUUGAUCCUGCGGGAGGUCGCUGCUAUUAGGAUUCGAUUUAGCCAUGCAAGUCAGGUAGCAAUACCGGCGAAAUGCUCAGUAACACGUCGAUAAUCUACCCUUAGGUCUGGCAUAACCUCGGAAAACUGAGGAUAACACCGGAUAACUGAAAUUUUCUGGAAUGAUUUUUCAGUCAAAAGCAAUGCCUAAGGAUGAGUUGGCGGUGGAUUAGGUUGUUGGCGGGGUAAAGGCCCACCAAGCCGAUGAUCCAUAGGGGCCGUGAGAGCGGGAGCCCCGAGAAGGACACUGAGAUACUGGUCCUAGCCCUAAGGGGUGCAGCAGGCGCGAAACCUUUACAAUGCACGAAAGUGUGAUAAGGGAAUCCUAAGUGCUUAUACUUUGUAUAGGCUUUUGUUAAGAGUAAAAAUCUUAGCGAAUAAGUGGUGGGCAGGACUGGUGCCAGCCGCCGCGGUAACACCAGCGCCACAAGUGGGGACCACAUUUAUUGGGCCUAAAGCGUCCGUAGUCGGUUAGAUAAAUCUUUUGUGAAAUCACAGGGCUUAACCCUGUGGCGUGCAAAAGAGACUGUUCAACUCGGAACCGGGAGGGGUGAGGAGAAUUCUUUGGGUAGCGGUAAAAUUAUAAUCCUUAGAAGACUGCCCGUGGCGAAGGCGCCUCACUAGAACGGAUUCGACGAUGAGGGACGAAAGCUAGGGGAGCGAUCCGGAUUAGAUACCCGAGUAGUCCUAGCUGUAAACUCUGCGAGCUAGGUGUUGCAUUUUCUUCGUGAAUGUGCAGUAUCGAAGCGAAGGCGAUAAGCUCGCCGCCUGGGAAGUAUGGUCGCAAGACUGAAACUUAAAGGAAUUGGCGGGGGAGCGCAACAAGGGGUGUGGCGUGCGGUUUAAUCUAAUUCCACGCAGAGAAUCUCACCAGAAGCGACGGCAGGAUGAAAGUCAGAUUAAAGGUCUUACUUUACGAGCCGAGGGGUAGUGCAUGGCCGCCGUCAGCUCGUGCCGUGAGGUGUCCUCUUAAGUGAGGCAACGAGCGAGACCUGCACUUACAAUUGCCAGCGACUUAUUUAUAAGGAUUGGGCACAUUGUAAGGACUGCCUUGGAAACAAGGAGGAAGGUGCAGGCAACGGUAGGUCUGUAUGCUCCGAAUCUUCUGGGCUACACGCGCGCAACAAUGGUAUGAACAAUGGGACACAACUCCGAAAGGAGAAGUUAAUCCUCUAAAUCAUAUCUUAGUUUAGAUUGAGGAUUGUAACUCAUCCUCAUGACACCGGAAUCCCUAGUAAUC
rnacentral:rRNA from 1 species